UCAGAAGAUUUCCUCUGGAUGCCCCUGACCAGACAUGAACAACUUGGUCUUCCACGUCUCUACUGCUUUGCCAACAUAAAGGUGUCUGUCGUGGCCCUUCACGCUUACGGUCAGUCCCACACAAGACCAGACCGGCAGACCCGCAGAUCGGUUGACCCGCAGGACCAUUGAGCAUCUGGUGGAGCAGCUUCGGGUUCCUCACACUCUGGGGCAGCUUCGGGUUCCUCACACUCUGGGGGGGGCACAGGAGACUGAGGUCCUGGUGUUUCUUUUCUGGCUGGCAUGUGGCACAUCAUACAG